GAUGAACGCUGGCGGCGUGCCUAAUACAUGCAAGUCGAGCGAAUGGAUUAAGAGCUUGCUCUUAUGAAGUUAGCGGCGGACGGGUGAGUAACACGUGGGUAACCUGCCCAUAAGACUGGGAUAACUCCGGGAAACCGGGGCUAAUACCGGAUAACAUUUUGAACCGCAUGGUUCGAAAUUGAAAGGCGGCUUCGGCUGUCCCUUCUGGAUGGACCCGCGUCGCAUUAGCUAGUUGGUGAGGUAACGGCUCACCAAGGCAACGAUGCGUAGCCGACCUGAGAGGGUGAUCGGCCACACUGGGACUGAGACACGGCCCAGACUCCUACGGGAGGCAGCAGUAGGGAAUCUUCCGCAAUGGACGAAAGUCUGACGGAGCAACGCCGCGUGAGUGAUGAAGGCUUUCGGGUCGUAAAACUCUGUUGUUAGGGAAGAACAAGUGCUGUUGAAUAAGCUGGCACCUUGACGGUACCUAACCAGAAAGCCACGGCUAACUACGUGCCAGCCGCCGCGGUAA
rnacentral:rRNA from 1 species